GUGGGGAAUUUUGGACAAUGGGCGCAAGCCUGAUCCAGCAAUGCCGCGUGCAGGAAGAAGGCCUUCGGGUUGUAAACUGCUUUUGUACGGAACGAAACGGUCCGGGUUAAUACCCUGGGCUAAUGACGGUACCGUAAGAAUAAGCACCGGCUAACUACGUGCCAGCAGCCGCGGUAAUACGUAGGGUGCAAGCGUUAAUCGGAAUUACUGGGCGUAAAGCGUGCGCAGGCGGUUUUGUAAGACAGGCGUGAAAUCCCCGGGCUCAACCUGGGAAUUGCGCUUGUGACUGCAAGGCUGGAGUGCGGCAGAGGGGGAUGGAAUUCCGCGUGUAGCAGUGAAAUGCGUAGAUAUGCGGAGAAACACCGAUGGCGAAGGCAAUCCCCUGGGCCUGCACUGACGCUCAUGCACGAAAGCGUGGGGAGCAAACAGGAUUAGAAACCCGAGUAGUCC
rnacentral:rRNA from 1 species